AUGAGGGCCUGGUCUCUCCUGGGCUCUUCAGAGCUGUGGCUUGUAUCUGAAAUGCUUCUUCACUGGAGAAAACUUCUCUGUUUCUCAUCAGAGUACAUCAAAUGCAGCACUCCUUCUGGCAGGGCAAUAGGAACCCAAGGAAAACAGAUGCCCAGUUUGUAUAUGGUACAGACCUUCACCAGUCAUUUGGAAGAAGUUAAGGAGUUUGCAUUAAACCAGUCAUACUUCCUCCUUGCCCUAAGCCAUGGGCAACUGUUGAUCUGAAAGUCAGAAGUCAAAGCAUUAAAAAAAUUCCAUGAUUUGGCUUUGUGCUCUCAGGUGUCUGACACACCACAUGUAAAGUAGACACUUUGGACCCUUCUUGAACUAGAAAAAUACUGGCUGUGUGCUUCGAGGUCAAGAGAUUGGAGUUAUCUGGGAAUUCUCAUCUUAAUCCUAGCUUGAUUGCUCCAUUAUGUGGAUACUUGUUAAAAUCCUAAAACUUUCUUGGACAUCUUUAUCAGUUACAUUACGUAUCUACAUACACAGUGGGUUAUCUUUCCUACGUAAGCAACUGAGGAAAAAAAACAAACAGGUAAUAAGUAUGAAUCUGUAUAUGAAAGGAAUACCAUUAUGAAUGUAGCCUCACUAGUAAACUCAUUCUUUUUAGUGUUUUCUACUGAAUGUCAGAAAAGGCAUGAAAGUGGUAUUUCAUGAGAGAUGAGCUUUCAUAGAUUUAUCAGUCUGAUAGCAAAAGAAAUGACUUAAAUUCUCAAAAUGCAGACAAAAUGUCGAGAAUUUCUUUCUGUUGCUUCAGAAUGAAGAGGAAGCAGGGUGGUGGAUGAAAUUUUGUUUCUUAGCUCAUGGCAGGGGGUGUGAAAAAAAACUGAACCGACAGUUUGGGGAUUAGUACCAUUCCUACCUCAAAUGUUCAAUGUCCUUAUCAUCCUUUUGAUCCAUGAAUUUAAACCACAACAGAAACAGUUGGUUCUUGGAAAAAACAAUAUUUUUCAAUAUAAAUUUUAGAUUAGAAGUCUUGGACAAUAUUUUUCAGUUGAGGUAAGAAAUACAUGCGUCUAAAGUUCUGGAAAGACAUGUAAUGAGAAUUGACUUUUUAUUUCAGUUUGGC
rnacentral:lncRNA from 1 species